AUUGAACGCUGGCGGUAUGCCUUACACAUGCAAGUCGAACGGUAACAGGUUAAGCUGACGAGUGGCGAACGGGUGAGUAAUGUAUCGGAACGUGCCCAGUCGUGGGGGAUAACUGCUCGAAAGAGCAGCUAAUACCGCAUACGACCUGAGGGUGAAAGCGGGGGAUCGCAAGACCUCGCGCGAUUGGAGCGGCCGAUAUCAGAUUAGGUAGUUGGUGAGGUAAAGGCUCACCAAGCCGACGAUCUGUAGCUGGUCUGAGAGGACGACCAGCCACACUGGGACUGAGACACGGCCCAGACUCCUACGGGAGGCAGCAGUGGGGAAUUUUGGACAAUGGGCGCAAGCCUGAUCCAGCCAUGCCGCGUGCGGGAAGAAGGCCUUCGGGUUGUAAACCGCUUUUGUCAGGGAAGAAAAGGUUCUGGCUAAUACCUGGGACUCAUGACGGUACCUGAAGAAUAAGCACCGGCUAACUACGUG
rnacentral:rRNA from 1 species